rnacentral:lncRNA from 1 species
CUUCUAAAAAUGAAGGAGAACUGGAAAAGUGGGAGAAUUUAUAAAGAAGCACAUUUUCUCUGAUUUGGGAAACCUGACUUCUUUUCUAUUUUUCUUUUGUUAGUUCUGCCUGUGGCCCUCAAAGGAAGGAAACUGCCAACACAACAUACAUGUGCAUCCAGAAAUCUCAAAAUCAGCAAAAGCUGUGAUGGGAGGGAAUCCUCAGAAUCUUUUAUUUUGGACAAGCCACUGAAGUUGAGCAGGUCAGGCAGAAGCAGCACUUGUACAACAGGCCAGCCAGUAUGUGAGAUUUAGGGUGGUACAGUAACUCCAGCAUGUUUUGUUAUCUCAGAAUGGAGUCUAUCCCCAGGUAAGUUUUGUCAUUUGUUUAUUUAAGUAUUGAUUUAUUUUAGGAAUUGCUGAAAUUGCUGAUUUUUCAUAUACAUCUCUGCUAAAGAUGCUUCGUCUCAGCUGUGGACAUAGAACCAUGCUAGGAUUAGAAACUUCUGUGUAUAUUCUUGUCCUCAGAAAUAGGACCACAACAGGAUAGAAGAGUUUUUGCAUUGCCUUAGGAGCCAGAGGGAUUAGUUACAGUCCUGUUAAAGCAUAGCUCUCUUUACAAUGAUCUUGCUUCUAACCAGAGAUUUGCCCAGCACACGUUGCUCCUGAGCUCAGAAUUGCCUGCCUUCCCCUCUCAGGUGAGUUCAGAUCUGCCAGCAUCUCCAAAGCUGGCUCAGGUGAGCUGGGUCUCAACAGAGAAGUAAAUACUGUUGCUCUUUUUGCACUGAAAGCUUUUGUACAGUGACAGCUUCAUCAGAGAUAAAUGUUAAUUAAACUUAAUCUCAGAGUGCUGUAUAUCAGUUAAUAAGUGACCAGCUGAGUACUGUCUAGGUACUCAUUUUGUUCCAUAACACUGCUGAUCUCUCAGAUGAGUCACACUUUUGUGGGAGGUCAGAUGCUCAGGGCUAAAUCAUUUGUUAUCUAUCACCUGAGAAGCAUAGAGAAGCAGUGCUGUUUCAAACGGCAGUAAAGGUUGACUACUCUGGCCAGUGAGCACUACAGGAGUGUCAGUCUAUCCAAAGGACGUUUUAAUCCAGAGUGGCAACUGGGGAAACGAAGGAUUCAUAGGCUAUUUAACUUCCUGUUUGUAAACCUCUCAUGUUACUGCAGUUGACUGUUGCUUUCAUCCUUACCUACUGAGAUCCAUGGGGCUGAUAAGUGUGUGUUGUACUGCACCAUUUGUUUCAGAAAAAUAGAAGCAAAAGGAAGGACUGGAAAAACAGAAUACAUUUUCUGCUUACCAGAAGAGAGCUGA